UUGACCUCGGAUCAGGUAGGAAUACCCGUGAACUAUCUGCUUCUUUUUUU
rnacentral:rRNA from 1 species